rnacentral:rRNA from 1 species
GAUGAACGCUGGCGGCGUGCCUAAUACAUGCAAGUCGAGCGAACGGACGAGAAGCUUGCUCUUCUGAUGUUAGCGGCGGACGGGUGAGGAACACGUGGAUAACCUACCUAUAAGACUGGGAUAACUUUGGGAAACCGGAGCUAAUACCGGAAAAUAUUUUGAACCGCAUGGUUCAAAAGUGAAAGACGGUAUUGCUGCAACUAAAAGAUGGACCCGCGCUGCAUUAGCUAGUUGGUAAGGUAACGGCUUACCAAGGCAACGAUGCAGAGCCGACCGGAGAGGGUGAUCCGCCACACUGGAACUGAGACACGGUCCAGACUCCUACGGGAGGCAGCAGUAGGGACUCUUCCGCAAUGGGCGAGAGCCGGACGGUGCACCGCCGCGUGAGUGAUGAAGGUCUUCGGAUCGUAGAGCUCUGUUAUUAGGGAAGAUCAUAUGUGUAAGUAACUGUGCACAUCUUGACGGUACCUAAUCAGAAAGCCACGGCUAACUCCGUG